rnacentral:rRNA from 1 species
CGCCGCGGUUAUACGAGUGAGCCCAAGUUGAUAAAAACCGGCGUAAAGGGUGGUUAAGAAUAUUUUCAAGUAAAGCCGAAAAUUCUAAUAGCUGUUGAACGCACACAAGAAUAAAAAGCCCAUAUACGAAAGUAGCUUUAUAACUUCUGACCCCACGAAAGCUAGGGCA